CAAUUUCAUGCAGAAUCAUGUGUUCACUCUGUAAUUUUGAUAUGUAAAGUACACUUGCAUGCAGAAUGAUAUGUUCACUCUGUAAUUUUGAUAUGUAAAGUACACGUGUAUGCAGAAUGAUAUGUUCACUCUGUAAGUUUUGAUAUGUAAAGUACACUUGCAUGCAGAAUGAUAUGUUCACCCUGUAAGUUUGAUAUGUAAAGUACACGUGUAUGCAG